UGCAAGUCGAACGGGGCAGCAAUGCCUAGUGGCGAACGGUCGCGUAACACGUAAGAAACCUGCCUCGGAGUGGGGGACAACAGCCCGAAAGGGCUGCUAAUACCGCAUGCACAUGUCGGUCGGCAUCGUCUGACAUGUAAAGCUUAAUGCGCUUCGAGAUGGUCUUGCGGCCUAUCAGGUAGAUGGUGGGGUAACGGCCUACCAUGCCGACGACGGGUAGCUGGUCUGAGAGGACGAUCAGCCGGAUUGGGACUGAGAUACGGCCCAGACUCCUACGGGGGGCGGCAAUUAGGAAUCUUGCGCAAUGGGCGAAAGCCUGACGCAGCGACGCCGCGUGAGGGACGACGGCCUUCGGGUUGUAAACCUCUUUUUCCGGGGAAGAAGAAUGUGACGGUACCCGGUGAAUAAGCCCCGGCUAACUACGUGCCAGCAGCCGCGGUAAUACGUAGGGGGCGAGCGUUGUCCGAAGUUACUGGGCGUAAAGCGCGCGUAGGCGGCUUCUUAAGUCUAGGUGAAAGGUUCAACGCUCAACGUGAACAGUGCCUUGGAUACUGGGAAGCUUGAAUGUGGCAGAGGAUAGUGGAAUGGCUGGUGUAGCGGUGAAAUGCGUAGAUAUCAGUCGGAACACCCAUGGCGAAGGCAGCUAUCUGGGCUAACAUUGACGCUGAGGUGCGAAAGCGUGGGGAGCGAACGGGAUUAGAUACCCCGGUAGUCCACGCCGUAAACGAUGAGUGCUAGGUGUAAGCGGUAUCGACCCCGCCUGGUGCCGUCGCUAACGCAUUAAGCACUCCGCCUGGGGAGUACGGCCGCAAGGUUGAAACUCAAAGGAAUUGACGGGGGCCCGCACAAGCGGGUGGACAUGUGGAUUAAUUCGUCACUAACCGAAGAACCUUACCCAGGCUUGAC
rnacentral:rRNA from 1 species